UUAAAGGAAUUGACGGGACCCCGCACAAGCGGUGGAUUAUGUUGUUUAAUUCGACGCAACGCGAAGAACCUUACCAGGCCUUGACAUACUCGGCAAAGCUCUAGAGAUGGAGUGGAGGUUAUCCGGGAUACAGGUGGUGCAUGGUUGUCGUCAGCUCGUGUCGUGAGAUGUUGGGUUAAGUCCCGCAACGAGCGCAACCCUUGUCUUUAGUUACCAUCAUUAAGUUGGGGACUCUAGAGAGACUGCCGGUGAUAAACCGGAGGAAGUGGGGAUGACGUCAAAUCAUCAUGCCCCUUAUGGCCUGGGCUACAAACGUAAUACAAUGGCGUAUACAAAGGGAUGCGAAAGGGCGACCUGGAGCAAAACUCACAAAGUACGUCUCAGUUCAGAUUGGAGUCUGCAACUCGACUCCAUGAAGGCGGAAUCGCUAGUAAUCGCGGAUCAGCAUGCCGCGGUGAAUACGUUCCCGGGCCUU
rnacentral:rRNA from 1 species